UCUAAGCCGUCACUCUUCUUCUCUCUCUCCAUCCUCAUCAGCCAUCCUCACCAGUCGCCGCCGCCGCCAGAGCUCUUUGGCUCUCUCUCUCAAUCGAGUGCGGGCCAUUUUCAGGAAGGAGUAGGCCAGCCGUUCAUCUACUGACCACACCGACGAGAGGAAGUGCCUUUGCAAAUGUCGCCGAUUGAAGCCCAUUUUUAGAGAAUGGUGUCCUUGCUUAAAGUGAACCAUCAGCAACACUUUGCAGUUUUCUCCAGUGGUAUUAGACCCAAUAACAAGACCUUUCAUCGCAAGUCAUCUUUCAUCUCAAUGUCUUCCUGGUCAUCCACAACAAUUCAACAUCUUCACAAUACAGUGUCACCAUCUUCGAAUCACAGCCUCAACAUUCCCAUCAUGGCUGGACAUAAGUAUUGUUUGUUGGGCAAGCUUUCAUCUGAGGUUGGAUGGAACCACAAUGACACUUUUAAGAUUGUAAAAAGAAAAUGCAUUACAAGUUCGUGUGAACAAAGCAAGUGAACUUGUUUGUGUUAGACUUAAGGAUGUUCCUCCAAUCCAACAAUCUCCACAUAUCCAAAAAUCAUCAACUGCAUCCCAUCACCAAAGAAGCUUAUAGAUUUUAUCUUGGUGUUCGAGGACUCUUUUGUGUAUAAAGAACUUCAUUGCUACAACCGCAUUUUUUGCAAGUGUUGGAGGAUAUUUGUAAACAUUUUGGAACUUUGAUUAUAGUAUUAGCUUGGAACUUUAAUGAUGGUUAUAGAAAAUAUUAUGUAUUUGAUAAUAUAUUUCCAUGUUAAUAUAAUGUUAGUUUGGAGACA